CGAUUGAUCAGAUACCGUCGUAGUCUUAACCAUAAACUAUGCCGACCAGGGAUAUGAGUUGUUAUGAAUAUAGAAAUAUAUUCAAUUUCUUCUUAUGAACCUUGUGAGAAAUCAUAAGUUUUUGGGUUCUGGGGGGAGUAUGGUCGCAAGGCUGAAACUUAAAGGAAUUGACGGAGGGGCACCACCAGGAGUGGAGCGUGCGGCUUAAUUUGACUCAACACGGGAAAACUUACCAGGUCCAGACAUUAGAAGGAUUGACAGAUUGAUAGCUCUUUCAUGAUUUAAUGGGUGGUGGUGCAUGGCCGUUCUUAGUUGGUGGAGUGAUUUGUCUGGUUAAUUCCGAUAACGAACGAGACCUUUACCAUACUAAAUAGUUUGAUUUAUGAUUUUUCAUAGAUUUUUAUUUAAACUUCUUAGAGGGACUAUUGGUUUCUAAACCAAAGGAAGUAAAGGCGAUAACAGGUCUGUGAUGCCCUUAGAUGUUCUGGGCUGCACGCGCGCUACAAUGAUAAACUCAACGAGUAUAUAUUUUAUUUUAUUGCUUUACCGGAAGGUAUGGCUAAUCUUAAACGUUUAUCGUGCUUGGGAUAGAUGAUUGCAAUUAUUUAUCUUGAACCAGGAAUUCCUAGUAAUCGUAUAUCAUCAGUGUGCGAUGAUUACGUCCCUGCCCCUUGUACACACCGCCCGUCGCUGCUACCGAUUGGAUGAUCCGGUGAAAUCCUCGGAUAAUGAUAAAUACUUUACUUUGUAAAGUUUAUUGUUAGAAGUUGAUUAAACCUUAUCAUCUAGAGGAAGCAAAAGUCGUAACAAGGUUUCCGUAGGUGAACCUGCAGAAGGAUGA
rnacentral:rRNA from 1 species